rnacentral:rRNA from 1 species
GUCUCAGUUCGGAUUGUAGUCUGCAACUCGACUACAUGAAGCUGGAAUCGCUAGUAAUCGCGGAUCAGAAUGCCGCGGUGAAUACGUUCCCGGGUCUUGUACACACCGCCCGUCACACCAUGGGAGUCGGGAAUGCCCGAAGCCAGUGACCCAAGCGAGAGCAGGGAGCUGUCGAAGGCAGGCCGGAUAACUGGGGUGAAGUCGUAACAAGGUAGC